UACGUAGGGACCGAGCGUUGUCCGGAAUCAUUGGGCGUAAAGAGCGUGUAGGCGGCCAGGUAGGUCUGCUGUGAAAACUCGAGGCUUAACCUCGAGCUGUCGGCGGAAACCAUCUGGCUAGAGUCCGGAAGAGGAGAAUGGAAUUCCCGGUGUAGCGGUGAAAUGCGCAGAUAUCGGGAAGAACACCGGUGGCGAAGGCGGUUCUCUGGGCCUUACCUGACGCUGAGGAGCGAAAGCGUGGGGAGCGAACAGG
rnacentral:rRNA from 1 species